rnacentral:rRNA from 1 species
AAGCACUCUUUUAGAUUUCCUUCGGGGAAGAAGAAAUUGUGACUGAGUGGUGGACGGGUGAGUAACGCGUGGGCAACCUGCCCCAUACAGGGGGAUAACAGCCGGAAACGGCUGCUAAAACCGCAUAAGCGCACAAGGGCCGCAUGGCCUGGUGUGAAAAACUCCGGUGGUAUGGGAUGGGCCCGCGUCUGAUUAGCUAGUUGGCGGGGGAGAGGCCCACCAAGGCGACGAUCAGUAGCCGACCUGAGAGGGUGGCCGGCCACAUUGGGACUGAGACACGGCCCAAACUCCUACGGGAGGCAGCAGUGGGGAAUAUUGCACAGUGGGGGAAACCCUGAUGCAGCGACGCCGCGUGAGCGAAGAAGUAUUUCGGUAUGUAAAGCUCUAUCAGCAGGGAAGAAAAAUGACGGUACCUGAGUAAGAAGCACCGGCUAAAUACGUGCCAGCAGCCGCGGUAAUACGUAUGGUGCAAGCGUUAUCCGGAUUUACUGGGUGUAAAGGGAGCGCAGGCGGUGCGGCAAGUCUGAUGUGAAAGCCCGGGGCUCAACCCCGGGACUGCAUUGGAAACUACCGAACUAGAGUGUCGGAGAGGUAAGUGGAAUUCCUAGUGUAGCGGUGAAAUGCGUAGAUAUUAGGAGGAACACCAGUGGCGAAG